UCCGACUCAUCCCAACAAGCCUGGCCAGGCAGCCCAGCCUCUCUCCGCCCGCCCCUUUGCCCAAUGGCACAGGGCAGGAUGUUGCUGCCCUCUGCUGGCCGCAGCGGGCAUGAUGGCGUACUGACCGUGGGCACCUGGCAGGUGAGAGACGGCAGCGCCCUCCUAUUGGGUGGGCAUUCCAUAACCUGGCACGAAGCACCUACUGGAUGCCAGGCUUGGGCUUGGCACUGGCACCAUUCGGAAACAAACACAGGUUGGGAAACUGAGGCACAGGAGGUUAGGAAACUUGAAUAAAGUCACACAGCUAGUAUGUGGCAAGGCUGAGUCAAUCACAGGGCCCCUUCACUUAACCGUCAGGCUACAUGACCUUGAACCAUGAACCUUGGCAGGCGUUGGGCAGGAGAUGGAGCUGAGGCCUACCCCAGGCCAGGCCUGCACGUGACAUGCCCACGUGGCGUUGAGGAAAAACCAGUGUUUCCCACCGACUGGAACACAAGGGCAGGAGGUGAAGGCAGGAGAAUCCAGGCGACCCUGGGGCUUUUCUGCUGGGGCACUGUUCCCCCUGUGGCAGGGCCAUCCACAGAGGGGCUGGCGGAAGUGGGAGGACGAGUGCAUUCCACAGAGAUGGGAUUUGAACCUGGGCAUUCUGGCACGGGCCACGCUCUGGACCACUGGGCCCCAGAUCCACAGCUUCUCACCUGCAGCCGCUGAGGAUGUGGAGGCAAACCAGGCAGGCCCAUGGGAAGGACCACCAAAAAGCGAGUGAGCAGCCGGUGAGGGGUCUCUCCCCAACAGGAAGGCCAGGCAGCCUUGAAGGAGCCAGGGAGGGAUCUAGAAGCUCCAGGAGGGGAGGCUUGGGGGAGCCAGCUGGCCUCUCUCCCUCUCCCUGUCCUUCCCCCCAUGCCUACCCCAACACACACACACAUGUCCUUGCUGGCCCCGGAUGAGACAGACGCCUGCAAUCUGGCAUGGGGAAUGGGUUUCUCCUUCCUUUCCACAGAAGAAAAUAAAUCAGGCUGGGCGUCGUGGCUCCCGCCUGUAAUCCCAGCACUUUGGGAGCCUAAGGCAGGAGGAUCACUUGGGCCCAGGAGUUCUAGACCAGCAUGGGCAACAUAGUGAGACCCCCAUCUCUAUAAAAAAAAUUUAAAAAUUAUCCAGGCAUGGUGGUGCGAGCCUGUAGUCCCAGCUACUUGGGAGGCUGAAGUGGGAGGAUCGCCUGAGCCUGGGAGUUGGUGCCUGCAGUGAGCUGUGAUGGUGCCAUUGCACUCCAGCCUGGGUGACAGUGCAAGACUCUGUCUUUAAAAAAAAAAAGAAAAGAAAGAAAGAAAAAAGAAAAUAAAUCCAUCCACAGGCAGCACCAUUUUUAUAAAUAUGUGUGUAUAUGGCCUGCAAAUGCACCUUCUACGCUUUCUGAGCAGAUAAGAGGCGUGGCUAUGGCAGCCCCUGGUCUGAAGCUGGUGUAACCAGAAAGGAUCUAGGCUGGUUUGGGGAACCGGAACAUCUUAUGUCAGGGGAGUCGUGCUGGAUGUAUCCUGCAAUGGCCGGGUCCCCUCACCAAGGGAUGGGAAGGCAGCGUCAACUGAUCUGGUGUCGUCUCCUUGCUGUGUGCCAGGCUUCUCAAUGCUGGAAGGGGACUCGUUGGGUCAGUGGGACGUGGGCUUCACGUUUGCUGGGCUGAAGACGUAGCUCUCCAUGCUGGCAUCCCAGCGGACACCCCCACUGCCACUGCUGCACCACGUCUUCACGUACACCAGAGAGCAGACUUGAGAGUUUCUGCGCAUACAGUGGGUGUGAAAUGGUGCCCUGCUGGGUUUUGAAUCGGCAUUCCUUGACCACCGGCCAUAUUGCAGCACUUUUCAUUUCUUCUGUCAAAUGCCCAUGCAUGUCUUGGCUUACACUUUGCAGGUGUUCUGUAUUUUCCAUACCAAUCCCUGGGGUGUAUGUCUUCGGCCUACCUGUUACUUGUCUUCUCGGUUUGCUGAUGUAUCAUGUGAUAAACAGAAAGUCUUAAUUUUAAUAUCAUAGCAUUUAUCAAUCUGAUUUUUUUUUUUGAGACGGGGUCUCGCUCUGUCGUGCAGGCUGGGGUGCAUUGGCGCAAUCAUGGCUCACUGAAGCCUCCUGGGCUCAAGCGAUCCUCCCACCUUAGCCUCCCAAACACCUGGGACUACAGGCAGGCGCCACAGUGCCUGGCUAAUUUUGUAAUUUUUUUGUAGAGACAGGGUCUCGCUAUGUUGCCCAGGCUGGUCUCAAACUCCUGGACUCAAGCGGCCCUCCCGCCUUGGCCUCCCAAAGUGCUGGCCCGUGAGCCUGUGAGCCACUGCGCCUGGCUACCUUCUUUUGAAUUCCCAUUCAGACUGUGUGUUGCUGGUAUAUAGAAAAACAAUGGAUUUCUAUGUACAGAUUUUGUAUCAAGUAACCUUGUAAACUCUCAUAUUAAGUCUAAUAAUUAUGUUUGAGUUCUCUUUGUGGAUUCUUUUUGAUUUUCUGCGUACACAAUCCUAUCAUCUGCAAGUAAUGACCAUUUUGUUUCUUCUAUUCCAGUCUUUUUAGCUUUGAUUUCUUUUUUUGAGGCAGAGUCUGGCUCUGUCACCCAGGCUGGAAUAUAGUGGCACAAUCUUGGCUCACUGCAACCUCCGCCUCCCUGGUUCAAGCAGUUCUCCUGCCUCAGCCUCCCAAGAAGCUGGGACUACAGGCACCCACCACCAUGCCUGACUAAUUUUUGUAUCUUUACCAGACACAGGGUUUCACCAUGUUGGCCAGGCUGAUCUGGAACUCCUGAUCCACCUGCCUUGGCCUCCCAAAGUGCUAGGAUUACAGGCGUGAGCCACUGUGCCCGGCUGAUUUCGUUUCCUUGCUUUACUUCC